GACGAACGCUGGCGGCGUGCUUAACACAUGCAAGUCGAACGGAAAGGCCCUGCUUUUGUGGGGUGCUCGAGUGGCGAACGGGUGAGUAACACGUGAGUAACCUGCCCUUGACUUUGGGAUAACUUCAGGAAACUGGGGCUAAUACCGGAUAGGAGCUCCUGCUGCAUGGUGGGGGUUGGAAAGUUUCGGCGGUUGGGGAUGGACUCGCGGCUUAUCAGCUUGUUGGUGGGGUAGUGGCUUACCAAGGCUUUGACGGGUAGCCGGGCUGGGAGGGUGACCGGCCCAACUGGGAUGGGAGUUAGGCACGGACCCCACUGGGGGGGGAGGGAGGGGGAAAUAAGAAAAGGGGAGGGACGCCGGAGGGAGCAAGCCGGGGGGCGGGAGGGCGGCUUUCGGGUGGAAACCCGUUUUCGCUUGGAAGGAAGGGUAGUGACAGGAAAGGGGUAAAAAGCCCCGGCUAAAUCCGUG
rnacentral:rRNA from 1 species